CAAGGUAACCGUAGAGUUUGAUCCUGGCUCAAGAAGUCGUAACAAGGGAACCGUAAAGUUUGAUCCUGGCUCAGGAAGGCAUAACAAGGUUUCCCGGUAGUUUAUGGCUAUGCGUCCUAUUAGCUAAAUGGUAAGGUAACGGCUUACCAUGGCAACGAUAGGUAGGGGUCCUGAGAGGGAGAUCCCCCACACUGGUACUGAGACACGGACCAGACUCCUACGGGAGGCAGCAGUGAGGAAUAUUGGGCAAUGGAGGCAACUCUGACCCAGCCAUGCCGCGUGCAGGAAGACGGCCCUAUGGGUUGUAAACUGCUUUUAUACAGGAAGAAACACUGGUAUGUAUACCAGCUUGACGGUACUGUAAGAAUAAGGACCGGCUAACUCCGUGCCAGCAGCCGCGGUAAUACGGAGGGUCCGAGCGUUAUCCGGAAUCAUUGGGUUUAAAGGGUCCGCAGGCGGUCAAUUAAGUCAGAGGUGAAAUACCAUAGCUCAACUAUGGAACUGCCUUUGAUACUGGUUGACUUGAGUCAUAUGGAAGUAGAUAGAAUGUGUAGUGUAGCGGUGAAAUGCAUAGAUAUUACACAGAAUACCGAUUGCGAAGGCAGUCUACUACGUAUGUACUGACGCUGAGGGACGAAAGCGUGGGGAGCGAACAGGAUUAGAUACCCUGGUAGUCCACGCCGUAAACGAUGGAUACUAGUUGUUGGGCAUUAGCUCAGUGACUAAGCGAAAGUGAUAAGUAUCCCACCUGGGGAGUACGGUCGCAAGACUGAAACUCAAAGGAAUUGACGGGGGCCCGCACAAGCGGUGGAGCAUGUGGUUUAAUUCGAUGAUACGCGAGGAACCUUACCAGGGCUUAAAUGUAGUCUGACAGCUUUAGAGAUAGAGUUUUCUUCGGACAGAUUACAAGGUGCUGCAUGGUUGUCGUCAGCUCGUGCCGUGAGGUGUCAGGUUAAGUCCUAUAACGAGCGCAACCCCUGUCGUUAGUUGCCAGCAAGUAAAGUUGGGGACUCUAACGAGACUGCCUACGCAAGUAGAGAGGAAGGUGGGGAUGACGUCAAAUCAUCAGGGCC
rnacentral:rRNA from 1 species